AAAGAGCUAGCUAUGGACCGGGGUGCGUGGAAGCUUGCUAUCCAUGUGCCAGAUCCAUGAGUUGGUUGCGAGAUCUUAUGGGUUUCACCUCUAGCCUACCCCAACUUGUUUGGGACUAAAGGCUUUGUUGUUGUUGUUUUGUUGUUGUUGUGAUGUCAUCUCUUCCUGAACUGCCAUUGACAUGUGCUGCAUGGCAAAGGCACAUAACCCUGUCAUCAACACCAUCGGUAUUCUUAAUAGUCAGGAAAGGUGCAACACAAAAUAUGGCUACAAAUUUCUUUUCUCUGUAAUCAUAACAAGAACUGAACAUAUUACAAAAAGAACUACAUCAUCUCCCAUCAAUAGAAAAAAUCUCAUUGUCUUUGACAGAAAUAUAUUUAAUUUAAUAACUAUUUCAGGAAAGCUCAUGCACACGCGUAGCAUAAUAACAAAACAACAGUCCCCUUAAAAUUAGGUAAGAGGCGGCAUCUAAGAUAGCCUUGGCGAACAACAGGGGAUGGAUAGUCUAUAAUUUGAAGGGAACUAUUGUUAUAAACUAAAAAAAUGAUUCUAAACUGCAAUAGUAGUGUAGCACAAAUAUACUGCUUUAUGUAUUCCGGUUGAUCAGUUCAUAUCAACUUGACUUUCCAAUGCUUGAACAAUUGAAUGAAUUUUGCAAUUGAAACUAAACACAAACUAACACCAUCAAAACAGAGGCAAUUGACGUGGUGCCACGCAAUGUCUUAUUGACCUUGGCCACCACACCAGCCUAAAUUGUAAAUAGAUGCGCAAGCCAAUCUCCGUACCUAUAAGUAUUCGGUGUAGGAUAGUGCAAAUAAGGGAUAUUAGCCUACAGAAAUAUGGGGUCAUGGCAAGGUUGAUCCCUUUCUUUUUCUAUCAUGUUCGUCUUCCUGAGUCCAAAGAGCAUCCGACCCUUGCUUCAAAGAUAAGGAGCCUCGCAAGGGUGACCAAAGCCAAUAUAGCAAUCAAAUGAGCCGAUAUCUCCUUGUAAGCAUUGUGUUUAUGUUGGUUAUAUCCUGCAUUUGACAUGAAACAGAUGGUGUCAUAUUGAGUUGAUCCACCAGCAAAUAAAAUCAAGGCAU
rnacentral:lncRNA from 1 species